GACGAACGCUGGCGGCGUGCUUAACACAUGCAAGUCGAACGGAAAGGCCCUGCUUUUGUGGGGUGCUCGAGUGGCGAACGGGUGAGUAACACGUGAGUAACCUGCCCUUGACUUUGGGAUAAAUUCAGGAAACUGGGGCUAAUACCGGAUAGGAGCUCCUGCUGCAUGGUGGGGGUUGGAAAGUUUCGGCGGUUGGGGAUGGACUCGCGGCUUAUCAGCUUGUUGGUGGGGUAGUGGCUUACCAAGGCUUUGACGGGUAGCCGGCCUGAGAGGGUGACCGGCCACAUGGGGACUGAGGUACGGCCCAGAAUCCAACGGGAGGCAGCAGUGGGGAAUAUUGCACAAUGAGCGGAAGCCUGAUGCAGCAACGCCGCGUGCGGGAUGACGGCCUUCGGGUUGUAAACCGCUUUCGCCUGUGACGAAGCGUGAGUGACGGUAAUGGGUAAAGAAGCACCGGCUAACUACGUG
rnacentral:rRNA from 1 species